CCAGGGCCUGGAUUCUCUUUGUGGAGCAAUAAAUGUGGAAUCACUGAAGUUAUUCCAGUAUAUUCACCACAAUCCAGGUGUGAAGGAAAUUCCUCAUGGCUGGAAAAUCCUGGGAUUCUUCCUUCCAAGCUCAAGAUACCUGCAGCAGCUGGAUUUUUCCAAGCAAAGCAGGGGAGCGGCGACUGGAUGGUGGGAAAAUCCAUCCCAAGCAGGAGGAGGAGGAACAUCUUGGACCCUACAUCCCUAAGAAGUGAUUCCAAG